UACAGAGGGUGCAAGCGUGUUCGGAAUUAUUGGGCGUAAAGCGCGUGUAGGCGGCAUGGCAAGUCGGGUGUGAAAGCCCUCAGCUUAACUGAGGAAGUGCGCCCGAAACUGCCGUGCUUGAGUGCCGGAGAGGGUGGCGGAAUUCCCCAAGUAGAGGUGAAAUUCGUAGAUAUGGGGAGGAACACCGGUGGCGAAGGCGGCCACCUGGACGGUAACUGACGCUGAGACGCGAAAGCCAGGGGAGCGAACGGG
rnacentral:rRNA from 1 species